rnacentral:rRNA from 1 species
CUUGUUGGUGGGGUGAUGGCCUACCAAGGCGACGACGGGUAGCCGGCCUGAGAGGGCGACCGGCCACACUGGGACUGAGACACGGCCCAGACUCCUACGGGAGGCAGCAGUGGGGAAUAUUGCACAAUGGGCGGAAGCCUGAUGCAGCGACGCCGCGUGAGGGAUGACGGCCUUCGGGUUGUAAACCUCUUUCAGCAGGGACGAAGCGCAAGUGACGGUACCUGCAGAAGAAGCGCCGGCCAACUACGUGCCAGCAGCCGCGGUAAGACGUAGGGCGCGAGCGUUGUCCGGAUUUAUUGGGCGUAAAGAGCUCGUAGGCGGCUUGUCGCGUCGACUGUGAAAACCCGCGGCUCAACCGCGGGCCUGCAGCCGAUACGGGCAGGCUAGAGUUCGGUAGGGGAGACUGGAAUUCCUGGUGUAGCGGUGAAAUGCGCAGAUAUCAGGAGGAACACCGAUGGCGAAGGCAGGUCUCUGGGCCGAUACUGACGCUGAGGAGCGAAAGCGUGGGGAGCGAACAGGAUUAGAUACCCUGGUAGUCCACGCUGUAAACGUUGGGCGCUAGGUGUGGGGGACCUCUCCGGUUCUCUGUGCCGCAGCUAACGCAUUAAGCGCCCCGCCUGGGGAGUACGGCCGCAAGGCUAAAACUCAAAGGAAUUGACG